rnacentral:rRNA from 1 species
GACGAACGCUGGCGGCGCGCUUAACACAUGCAAGUCGUGCGGUGUGGAAGGCAAGUCUUACGACAAGCCUUCGACACAGCGGCGAACGGGUGAGUAACACGUGAGUAGCUGUCCUAAGGAGGGGGAUAACGCCUGGAAACGGGUGCUAAUACCCCAUAUGCCUCGCAAGAGGUGAAAGUGUACUUGCUACAGCCUUAGGGUGUGCUCGCGGCCUAUCAGCUAGUUGGUGAGGUAACGGCUCACCAAGGCUAAGACGGGUAGCCGGCCUGAGAGGGUGUACGGCCACACUGGAAUUGAGAUACGGUCCAGACUCCUACGGGAGGCAGCAGUGGGGAAUCUUGGGCAAUGGGCGAAAGCCUGACCCAGCGACGCCGCGUUGGGGAUGAAGCCCCUUUGGGGCGUAAACCCAUGUUGUAGGGGACAAGAAAGUGACGGUACCCUACGAGAAAGCCCCGGACCAACUACGUGCCCAAGCACGCCGACGUAAGUACGUACUACUAUUCGAGCGGCGGCGUGGACGAGGCCG